UGGGGAAUUUUGGACAAUGGGCGAAAGCCUGAUCCAGCAAUGCCGCGUGUGUGAAGAAGGCCUUCGGGUUGUAAGGCACUUUUGUCCGGAAAGAAAUCCUCUGGGUUAAUACCUCGGGGGGAUGACGGUACCGGAAGAAUAAGCACCGGCUAACUACGUGCCAGCAGCCGCGGUAAUACGUAGGGUGCAAGCGUUAAUCGGAAUUACUGGGCGUAAAGCGUGCGCAGGCGGUUUUGUAAGACGGAUGUGAAAUCCCCGGGCUUAACCUGGGAACUGCAUUCGUGACUGCAAGGCUAGAGUAUGGCAGAGGGGGGUAGAAUUCCACGUGUAGCAGUGAAAUGCGUAGAGAUGUGGAGGAAUACCGAUGGCGAAGGCAGCCCCCUGGGCCAAUACUGACGCUCAUGCACGAAAGCGUGGGGAGCAAACAGGAUUAGAUACCCUGGUAGUCCACGCCCUAAACGAUGUCAACUAGUUGUUGGGGAUUCAUUUCCUUAGUAACGUAGCUAACGCGUGAAGUUGACCGCCUGGGGAGUACGGUCGCAAGAUUAAAACUCAAAUGAAUUGACGGGGUCAUAGCUGUUUCCU
rnacentral:rRNA from 1 species